rnacentral:rRNA from 1 species
UACGUAGGGCGCAAGCGUUGUCCGGAAUUAUUGGGCGUAAAGAGCUCGUAGGCGGCUUGUCACGUCGGGUGUGAAAGCCCGGGGCUUAACCCCGGGUCUGCAUUCGAUACGGGCUAGCCAGAGUGUGGUAGGGGAGAUCGGAAUUCCUGGUGUAGCGGUGAAAUGCGCAGAUAUCAGGAGGAACACCGGUGGCGAAGGCGGGUCUCUGGGCCGAAAUUGACGCUGAGGAGCGAAAGCCAGGGGAGCAAACGGG